rnacentral:rRNA from 1 species
AAAGUGGAGCAAUCCAUGAGUAAAGUGGCGACCGGGUGAGUAACACGUGACUAACCUACCCUGAAGUGGGGAAUAACCUCGGGAAACCGGGGCUAAUACCGCAUAACAUCGCGAGCUGUAAACGCUUGUGAUCAAAGGAGCAAUUCGCUUUAGGAGGGGGUCGCGGCUGAUUAGCUAGUUGGUGAGGUAACGGCUCACCAAGGCAAAGAUCAGUAUCCGGCCUGAGAGGGCGCACGGACACACUGGAACUGAAACACGGUCCAGACUCCUACGGGAGGCAGCAGUGGGGAAUUUUGCGCAAUGGGGGAAACCCUGACGCAGCAACGCCGCGUGGAGGAUGAAGUCCCUUGGGAUGUAAACUCCUUUCGAUCGGGACGAUUAUGACGGUACCGGAAGAAGAAGCACCGGCUAACUCUGUGCCAGCA